rnacentral:lncRNA from 1 species
CGGAGGCCCAUGGUUGGAGGGAGUGACAGCCGCGCCUCCCCGUGAAGGGAAUGGAGAACACGCUACUCAUGGCACUUGCUAAAUUCUGCUUUGCUCUCCUCCCCAGAGAUCACACAGGACCCUCACCCUCUGAGAUGCCGUCCACCUGGAUGCACUGCUUGGUGGAUGUGAGCAGCUGCGGGUCCCCAGAGGUCACACAGGAUCCUCAUCUGUGGGUCCCCAGAGAUCAUGGGGGAUCCUCACCCUCUGAGACGCCGUCUGCCCGGAC